rnacentral:rRNA from 1 species
GAUGAACGCUGGCGGCGUGCCUAAUACAUGCAAGUCGAGCGAACAGACGAGGAGCUUGCUCCUCUGACGUUAGCGGCGGACGGGUGAGUAACACGUGGAUAACCUACCUAUAAGACUGGGAUAACUUCGGGAAACCGGAGCUAAUACCGGAUAAUAUAUUGAACCGCAUGGUUCAAUAGUGAAAGACGGUUUUGCUGUCACUUAUAGAUGGAUCCGCGCCGCAUUAGCUAGUUGGUAGGGUAACGGCUUACCAAGGCGACGAUGCGUAGCCGACCUGAGAGGGUGAUCGGCCACACUGGAACUGAGACGCGGUCCAGACUCCUACGGGAGGCAGCAGUAGGGAAUCUUCCGCAAUGGGCGAAAGCCUGACGGAGCAACGCCGCGUGAGUGAUGAAGGUCUUCGGAUCGUAAAACUCUGUUAUUAGGGAAGAACAAAUGUGUAAGUAACUAUGCACGUCUUGACGGUACCUAAUCAGAAAGCCACGGCUAACUACGUG